GACGAACGCUGGCGGCGUGCCUAAUACAUGCAAGUCGAGCGGACUCAUCCCUUCGGGGAUGGGUUAGCGGCGGACGGGUGAGUAACACGUAGGUAACCUGCCUGUAAGAUCGGGAUAACUAUCGGAAACGAUAGCUAAGACCGAAUAAUUGGUUCCCUCGCAUGGGGGAAACAUGAAACACGGUGCAAGCUGUGGCUUACGGAUGGGCCUGCGGCGCAUUAGCUAGUUGGAGGGUAAUGGCCUACCAAGGCGACGAUGCGUAGCCGACCUGAGAGGGUGAACGGCCACACUGGGACUGAGACACGGCCCAGACUCCUACGGGAGCAGCAGUAGGGAAUCUUCCGCAAUGGACGC
rnacentral:rRNA from 1 species